rnacentral:lncRNA from 10 species
GAUUUAACAGCUUUUGUUUUGGGCAGAAGAACCUAUGGGCACAAAAAGCAGGAACGAGUAGCGGUGGCUGAAGAACGAGCAGGAGCUUGAAUUUCAGUUUUCUUAUGAGGAAUUUUCCAGAAAAGAUAUCUUCACUGUGAAAUAACUAAAUAAAUGCCCACUCAGUACAACAGUGCCGAUGUAAUAGUAACAAAAAGUCUCAGCCUCAUUUAAGAUAAAAGGCCAUCAUCAGACAAUGCAGGACAGAUUGUAACAAUAGGAAGUACUACAGAGAUUCAGAGAAUGCCAUAAAUAACCUUGGAAUCCUGUGCUUGGGUCACUGUCUCCCUUUUGGAACUUGAUGGCACCUUAAGCCCAGGUUUGCCUCCACUCUAGAAACUCAUCAGAGUGAUGCCCUUCUCAAAUGGGGGAGGUCCCAAAGCGGAUAUCCUGGCAGUGUGAAAGGCCGGCUAAAGCUUUCCCUGCACUCCAAACACAGAGCUGAGACUUCCACCUAAUGUAGAAAGCUAGCACGAGCCGGCGCUGACAGAUGGAAGACUUGAGAUGUUACAAGAUUAUAUAUGGAAACACAAAAGGAGUGGAGUUGCUGGGUCAUAUGGCAAUUCAUUUGAGGAACUGAGAAGCUUAUUCCAUGGAGGCUGAACUGUUUUAUAUUCCCACCAGCAACGUGUAAGGUUCCAGUUUAUCUACAUCAUCACCAACACUUGCUAUUUUCCAUUUCAUUAAUGAUAGCCAUCCUAGUGGAUUUGAAGUGGUACCUUAUUAUCGUGGUUUUGAUUGCAUUCUCUAUUGACUAAUGAUAUCGAGCAUCUUUUCAUGUAUUUUUUGGUCAUUUGGUCAUUUUUCUUUUUUAAUUUUAAAAUUUUGAGACAGGCUCUCACUAUGUUGCCCAGGUGGUCUCAAACUCCUGGGUUCCAGCGAUGCUCAUGCCUCAGUCUCCCAAAGGGGUGGGAUUACAGGUGUGAGCCACUUUGCCCAGCCCAUUUGUAUAUCUCCUUUGGAGAAUAUCUAGGUUCUUUUGAAGGUAGCUGCAUAUAAACUAGCCAAAUUAACAGACUGUGGUUUUUAGAUGGCUUUCCAUAUCUACAAGAACUAUUUAGUUCUCAAAACUGGGAAGAAAUGUUUCAGAGGCAUCAUUAAUUCAUAAUCUAAAAAUUUAUCUUGGGUUUCCUUUUUUCCCCCAGAUUCUGUAUCCUCCAUAGUCCUAUUCAUGACAUGGGUCGUUCAUCUCUGUAUUCUAAACCCUCAAUGAACUGUAGACAGUAAUAAAUAUUUAUUGGAUGAAUGGUCUCUCAUCAGCCACCUUUUCUUUUUUUUUUUUUGAGACAGAGUCUCACUCUGUCACUCAGGCUGGAGUGCAGUGGCGCGAUCUCGGUUCACUGCAACCUCUGCCUCCCGGGUUCAAGUGAUUCUCCCACCUGAGCCUCCCGAGUAGCUGGGAUUACAGGUGCACGCCACCUUGUCUGGCUAAUUUUUGUAUUUUUAGUAGAGACAGGGUUUCACCGUGUUGGUCAGGCUGGUCUCAAACGCCUGACCUCAGGUGAUCUGCCCGACUUGGCCUCCCAAAGUGCUGGGAUUACAGGUGUGAGCCACCGCACCUGGCCUCCAGCCUCUUUUCUUUUUUUUUUUUGAGACAAGUCUAACUCUGUCACCCAGGCUGGAGAGCAGCGGCAUGAUCAUGGCUCACUGCUGCCUCAACCUCAGAGGCUCAAGUCAUUGUCCCCACCUCAGCCUCCCUAGUAGACUGGACUACAGGCAUGUGCCACCACACCCAGCUAAUUUUUCAUCAGCCACCUUUUCUAACCAUCUGUCUGCACUGACUUCCCAGGUUCUGCAUCAUUAUUGGUUUACUGAGACAAUGCACUUCACCCGUCCUUCAAUCCCAAAGUAGCACAGAAUAUCAGGAGUUCUUUGAGCCCCUAAGUGCCCUACUUUCCCAGGGUCAGGGGACCCUGACAAGCAAGGUCCCCACAUCUUUCUGUGGUUGGAUAGGGAUAUAAAAUUUCUCACACAUGUUAAAUCAAGAUACUUUGGCCAGGCACGGUGGCUCACACCUGUAAUCCCAGCACUUUGGGAGGCUGAGGUGUACAGAUCACUUGAGGUCAGGAGUUUGAGACAAGCCUGGUCAACAUGGUGAAACUCCCAUCUCUACUAAAAAAAAAAAAACUUUGGGAGGCCGAGGUGGGUGGAUCAUGAGGUCAGGAGUUUGAGACCAGCCUGGCCAACAUGGUGAAACCCCGUCUCUACUAAAAAUGCAAAAAUUAGGUGGGUGUGGUGGCACACAGCAGUAGUCCCAGCUACUCAGGAGGCUGAGGCAGGAGAAUUGCUUGAACCUGGGAGGCAGAGGUUACAGUGAGCUGAGAUCAUGCCACCGCACUCCAACCAGGGCAACAGAUCAAGACUCCAUCUUGGGGAAAAAAAAAAAAAUUAGCCAGGCUUGGUGGUGGAUGCCUGUAUUCCCAGCUUCUUGGGAGACUGAAGCAGGAGGAUCGCUUGAACCCAGGAGGCAGAGGUUGCAGUGAGUUGAGAUUGUGCCACUGUACUCCAGCCUGGGCAACAGAAACAAUACUCCGUCUCAAAAAAAAAAAAAAAAAAAAAAAAUCAAGACACCAAACACACACAACUAAUUAGCUCUAUAAAUUGAAUUAAAAGAAAAUCCAUACUGACUUGCUUUCCCAUCUGUCCAUAUUUGUCUAUCCAAAUGAUUAAGGGCUAGAGAAAAUACAGAUGAUGAUGGCUGAGAUGGGAUAAAACUAUAAAUUGACUUGGUUCCAUUUACCUCCCAGAAUCAGCAUACAGUGACAAAGUAGAGAGAAAAGGUCUGGGCACCACAAACUUGUACUUGUGCUAGAAAUGUAGGUGCCUUUUCAUUUGCCCAGCAGGGCUAGUUUAACAGCCAGGGUAUCUUCUGGGACUCUUCCCCAAAUCUUGCUCUACCGCUGACUAGCUAUGUGAUCUUGGGCAAGUUUCUCAACCUUUCUGUGCCUUUCUUCCUUUACUUAUAAAUAAGGAUAACAGAAUUUGCUUCAUAGAGUUAGUCUGAGGAUUCAGUAAGUAGAUACGUG